CCUACGGGAGGCAGCAGUGGGGAAUAUUGCGCAAUGGGGGCAACCCUGACGCAGCAACGCCGCGUGUGUGAUGAAGGCCUUCGGGUCGUAAAGCACUGUGGGGUGGAACGAGCCGCCGAGGGUGAAUAUCCUUCGGCCCGACGGUACCACCAGAGGAAGCACCGGCUAACCCUGUGCCAGCAGCCGCGGUAAUACAGGGGGUGCAAGCGUUGUUCGGAAUUAUUGGGCGUAAAGCGCGUGUAGGCGGACCGCUAAGUCCGAUGUGAAAUCCCUCGGCUUAACUGAGGAAGUGCAUUGGAUACUGGCGGCCUUGAGUCCUGGAGAGGGUAGCGGAAUUCCCAGUGUAGGGGUGAAAUUCGUAGAUAUUGGGAGGAACACCGGUGGCGAAGGCGGCUACCUGGACAGUGACUGACGCUGAGACGCGAAAGCAUGGGUAGCAAACAGGAUUAGAUACCCUGGUAGUCCAUGCCGUAAACGAUGGGUGCUAGUUGGUGCGGGUAUUGACCCCUGCGCUGACGAAGCUAACGCGUUAAGCACCCCGCCUGGGGAGUACGGCCGCAAGGCUAAAACUCAAAGGAAUUGACGG
rnacentral:rRNA from 1 species